CAGGGGGUAUUUUAUUUAAAAUGUUAAUUUUGGGGAUUAGUGAAAUGGUAUUGAUACCUUUCCUCUGA
rnacentral:tRNA from 1 species